CCUACGUGAGGCUGCAGUGGGGAAUAUUGCACAAUGGGGGAAACCCUGAUGCAGCGACGCCGCGUGAGUGAAGAAGUAUCUCGGUACGUAAAGCUCUAUCAGCAGGGACGAAAAUGACGGUAUCUGACUAAGAAGCCCCCGCUAACUACGUGCCAGCAGCCGCGGUAAUACGUAGGGGGUCAGCGUUAUUCGGAUUUACUGGGUGGAAAAGGAGAGUAGACGGCAGAGCAAGUCUGAAGUGAUAUCCCGGGGCUUAACCCAGGAACUGCUUUGGAAACUGUGCGGCUGGAGGGCAGUAGGGGGAAGCGGAAUUGCUAGUGUAGCGGUGAAAUGCGUAGAUAUUAGGAGGAACACCGGUGGCGAAGGCGGCUUACUGGACUGUAACUGACGUUGAGGCUCGAAAGCGUGGGGAGCAAACAGGAUUAGAUACCCGGGUAGUC
rnacentral:rRNA from 1 species